GUAAUUUUUUUAUAUUUUUAUUUGCUUGUCUAAUUAGAGCAUUUUUAUCUUUAUAAUGUUUAUAAUUUUGCUGUGUUAUUAGAUUGCCAAAAGUGGGAACUAGGACUACUAAGACGGCAUGUUCGACCAACACAUAGCCAUUUUUAUGUUUACAGCCGGAAAGAAGCUUCUGUUUGGUAGAGCUUCUGUUCGGCAGCUGUCUGUGAAGUUUCUACUGCUGUUUAAUGGAGUUUUGCUACCGUUUGGUGGAGUUUUUGCUGUCAUUUGUGGAGUUUCAGCAACUGCCGUUUUAGUCGAGUUUCCUCUACUCUUUUGUGGACUAUUUGCUGCUAUUUCCUAAAGUUUUAAUCGUUUCUGGAUUUUAAUUUGUGGAGCUUUUAGUUUUGUGUUGAUUGAUGUUGUUGGAUUUAAUUUGUGGAGUUUUAGUUGCUGAUUUUUUCAUAUUAGCAGAUGAUAUGGUUUAUGAAAUGUAUGUAAUUUUAAACA